CCUACGGGAGGCAGCAGUAGGGAAUUUUCCACAAUGGGCGAAAGCCUGAUGGAGCAAUACCGCGUGCAGGAUGAAGGCCUUCGGGUCGUAAACUGCUUUUAUGUGCGAAGAAUUUGACGGUAACACAUGAAUAAGGAUCGGCUAACUACGUGCCAGCAGCCGCGGUCAUACGUAGGAUCCAAGCGUUAUCCGGAAUUACUGGGCGUAAAGAGUUGCGUAGGUGGCAUUAUAAGUGGAGCGUGAAAGCGUGCGGCUCAACCGCAUUAUUGCGUUCCAAACUGUGAAGCUUGAGUAUGGGAGAGGUAGAUGGAAUUUCUAGUGUAGGAGUGAAAUCCGUAGAUAUUAGAAGGAACACCGAUGGCGUAGGCAGUCUACUGGCCCAUUACUGACACUAAGGCACGAAAGCGUGGGGAGCAAACGGGAUUAGAUACCCCGGUAGUCCACGCUGUAAACUAUGGAUGCUAGCUGUGACACACAUCACUGUGUCGUAGCGAGUACGUACGUAGUAUCCGCCGCGGAGGUACGGUCGCGAGAAUAAACGUAACGAAGAAGUAGACGGACGUGAGACGUAGCGACGGACGACGACGAGGGAGGAGG
rnacentral:rRNA from 1 species